UUAUUCAUAAUGGGCCAAAGCCUGAUGGUGCGACGCCGCGUGAGGGAUGAAGGCCUUCGGGUUGUAAACCUCUGUCACCGGGGAAGAAACGCUUUGAGUUAACAGUUCAAAGCCUGACUUAACCCGGAGAGGAAGCAGUGGCUAACUCUGUGCCAGCAGCCGCGGUAAUACAGAGACUGCAAGCGUUAUUCGGAUUCACUGGGCGUAAAGGGUGCGCAGGCGGCCGUGUGUGUGAGGCGUGAAAGCCCGGGGCUUAACCCCGGAAUUGCACCUCAAACUACAUGGCUAGAGCAUUGGAGAGGGUAGCGGAAUUCACGGUGUAGCAGUGAAAUGCGUAGAUAUCGUGAGGAACACCAGAGGCGAAGGCGGCUACCUGGACAAUUGCUGACGCUCAGGCACGAAAGCGUGGGGAGCAAAAGGG
rnacentral:rRNA from 1 species